UACGUAGGCAGCGAGCGUUGUUCGGAGUUACUGGGCGUAAAGGGUGUGUAGGCGGUUGUUUUAAGUUUGGUGUGAAAUCUCCCGGCUCAACUGGGAGGGUGCGCCGAAUACUGAAUGACUCGAGUGCGGGAGAGGAGAGUGGAAUUCCUGGUGUAGCGGUGAAAUGCGUAGAUAUCAGGAGGAACACCGGCGGUGUAGACGGCUCUCUGGACCGUAACUGACGCUGAGACACGAAAGCGUGGGUAGCAAACAGG
rnacentral:rRNA from 1 species